rnacentral:lncRNA from 1 species
AAAAAAGAAGCAGAAUGCUUCUUCUUCCUUGCUCCCUCUCCAUUUUUGCUAGGAGUUCAACCUAGCUUGCGUCACCCUGAAGGAUCAUCAGUGCCACGCACCUCCACCCCAUCACCGGUUCAUGGAUCAAGACCGGGUAAGCCCUCCUUUCUUUCUUUUUACUUAAAAUCAGUCUAUAAACAAAAUAAAAAAGGAAAAAAAUACGAAUAAAAAAAGUUACAAGAAGAAGAAUGAAAAAUCACUUUUCAAUCCUGAGACUAGAUUUUUGAUUUACUUUCGAUCUUUUCUCUAUAAUUUCUGCUAGUGUACUUAUAUAAUGAGCAAAAAAAAAAGAGCCCCGUUUACAAUGUUUAAAAUGGCUUUUAUAGCCUAGAAAAACAAAUAAACUCUUCUAUUGGUUGCUAUCUGUUUGCUUCCUGUUACAGGUGUUGUUGCGGAUAUUUCGGAAGCACAAGGCGUGACAAAGAGGGACUGCUGGUAGCGCACGUCUCGGAGGUGUAGUGGAUGGUGGAGGCACGUGGGGAUGGGGGUAUUUGGGGUGAAUUUUGUUUUAGUUUUGGGCUGUUUUGGGUUAUAGGAUUGGGCUAGUGGUUAAUGGGUUUGAUUAGUGGGCUAGGCAAAGAAAAUUGGUCCAACAGCUGCCCCUCUUUGCUCAUUGUCGUGUAACGAGAAUAGAGCAAAGACUUAGAAGGGCCAAUUUUGCCUGGCCCCAUCAUGUCUUGACUUCUUGAUUGCCUCUUUUCUUCAAGUAGCCUCGUUUUAACCCACUGCAUCCUAUUACUUCCAGAUGCUUCAUUGAUGCUUUGUAGAUAUACGAUUUAUUGAAACUUGAUCCAUUCCAUUCCUGUUCAGUGGGGUGGGAUCUGCUGAAAUCUGAUAUGCUCUGCUCCUGCUUAGUGAAGAUAAGAUUGGUGGCUGAAAUCUGCUCCAUUGUCGAUCCAUGGAGAUAAGAUUCACCGAAAUUUGGUCUGCUCCGCUCCUGCUCAGCGAAGAUAAGACCUAGUAUAUUUAGCUUGCUCCACUUCUGCUCAGUGAAGAUAAAGCUGAUGAUUGGAAUCUGUUUAAUCGCCGGUACGUGGAGAUAAGAUUCUCCAAAAUUCAAUCUGCUUCACUCCUGCUCAAUUAAGAUAAGAUUUGGUAUAUUUAGCCUGCUCCACUCCUACUCAGUGAAGAUAAGGUUGAUGAUUGGAAUCUGCUCCAUCGUCGGUAUGUGGAGAUAAGAUUCUCCAAAACUCGAUCUGCUUCACUCUUGCUCAGUGAAGAUAAGAUCGGGUAUGUUUAACCUGCUCCACUCCUGCUUAGUAAAGAUAAGAUUGGUGAUUGGAAUCUACUCCAUCGCCGGUACGUGGAGAUAAGAUUCUCCAAAACUCGAUCUGCUUCACUCCUGCUCAGUGAAGAUAAGAUCGGGUAUGUUUAACCUGCUCCACUCCUGCUUAAUGAAGAUAAGAUUGGUGAUUGGAAUCUGCUCCAUCGCCGUUACGUGGAGAUAAGAUUCUCCAAAACUCGAUCUGCUUCACUCCUGCUCAGUGAAGAUAAGAUCGGGUAUGUUUAACCUGCUCCACUCCUGCUUAGUGAAGAUAAGGCUGAUGAUAUCUGUCUUUUUAAUCAAUCCUACUACAUUGUCCACUGGGGGAUCCUAUCUGUAGAAGAGUGAUUUUAUGCUUAUGCUAGAUGUUUAGGAUGCCAUGAUUAAUCAAAUGCUCCUAACUAGAUGUCUUAUGCAUAUUUAAAUGCAUAAAUCCAAAAUGUCAUGAGAAUGAUCAUUUAAAUUUUUAGGCUGUUAUCGCUCGCUAUUUGUUAUGGUAACAUCCCUGACGUAUGCCUUCUCAUCCAGCUUGAUAAAAGAGGGCUUGAGGAUACUGUAAGUCCCUUUUCCUUCAUACGUUUCUAGCUCUUUAAGCCUGGUGAGUUUUAAAUAAUUUUCCUGUUUCAGGAUCUUGUAUUGUUUAGAAAUCUUUCAGAGUAAUACGUAAAACCUCUUUUGAGAACAUUGUUAGUUCAUUAAUCAUUAUUUCAAUGUAAAACGCUUGAAAAAGAUCAUAAGGGUAAAUGGAACUGAAAUUUAUUCGAGUACUAGUUCACGAAAGAUGUACUAAAGAAAGAAAGCAUUGAUUAUUUGAAAUACAAAAAUGGAUAAAAAGAACAAAUAUUUGCCCCAGAUUCUGCAGUUUGAGCUUCUCUGAACGAACUACUCGAAGACCAUUCUACACUUGACAUGUGCUCAAGGGAUCUAUAGCAUUUGUCGAUGCCCCAAUAUGUAGCCCAUCCCUUCUUUGUCGAUUCUAGUGUAAUGAGACUGCUACUUGCCCUAGUCUGGAUCAAUUUUUGAAUUGCCCUUUGUGGGUUUUCAAUUCAAAACCUCUUUGGUCUCAAGGCGUCCUUUUACAGGUUUUCACCUUGGCCUCUCCCUUUUUUUUUUGGUACCCUUUACAGGUUUUCACCUCAACUGCUUCAAGCAAAAUAUCUUUUAACAGAAUCUGAAUUUAUCGGGUUAGGCAAGCUCUUGCCAUCCAUCUUUGCUAGUAUCAAUGCCCCUCCAGAGAAAGCCUUUUUUACCAUAUAGGGUCCUUCCCAAUUUGGCAUCUAUUUCCCCCUGAAAUCUUUUUGCAUAGGGAGAAUAUUUUUCAAUACUAAGUCCCCUUCAUGGAACACCCUAGGGCGAACUUUUUUGUUGUAGGCUCGCAUCAUUCUCCUCUAGUACAUUUGACUAUGACGAAUAGCCUUCAGCCUCCUCUCUUUAAUCAAGUUUAGUUGAUCGUAACGAGAUUGGAUCCAUUCUGCUUCGUCUAACUUCAACUCUGAUAAAACUCAAAGAGAAGGGAUUUCGACCUCAAUAGGUAAAACUGCCUCCAUCCCAUAAACCAAUGAGAAAGGUGUUGCCUCGGUAGAAGUUCUGACAGAUGUCCGAUAAGCAUAAAGGGAAAAUGGGAGCUUUUUAUGCCAAUCUUUGUAGGUCUCUGCCAUUUUCCCUACAAUCUUCUUGAUAUUCUUAUUAGCUGCCUCAACCGCCCCAUUCAUUUUUGGGCGGUAUGGCGAUGAGUUGUGAUGUUUAAUGUUGAACUGACUGCAGACUUCUGCUAUUGCGCUAUUGUUCAGAUUCAAUGCGUUGUCAGAUAUGAUUCUUUCUGGCAUACCAUAACGACAUACGAUCUCCUUCUUCAGGAACUUGCUGACUGUCGACUUUGUGAAAUUGGCGUACGAAGCAGCCUCCAUCCAUUUGGUAAAGUAGUUAAUGACCACAAGAAUGAAUCGAUGUCCGUUGGAAGCCUUUGGAGAAAUCGGCCCAAUGAUGUCCAUACCCCACAUUGAGAAUGGCCAUGGGAAAGUCAUAACAUGGAGGGGUGAAGGAGGCACAUGGAUCUUGUCUCCAUAAAUUUGACACUUAUGGCACUUCUUAGCGUAAUUGAUGCAAUCUCCUUCCAUUGUGGACCAGUAAUAUCCGAAUCUCAUGAUUUGUCGAGCCAUUGUAAAACCAUUAGCAUGUGUCCCACAGACGCCAUCAUGGACUUCCUCUAGAAUUUUCUUUGCCUCAACAACGUCAACACAUCUUAGCAACACCUGAUCCUUUCUUUUCUUAUAUAGGACCUCACCGUCCAAGACAUAGUCACUGGCUAACCUCCUCAAUGUUCUUUUAUCAUUUUCAGUUGCUUGAUCUGGGUACGCACAGCUCUUCACAUAUUGUAAGAUAUCAUGAUAUCAAGGAUGAUCAUCUCUCUCUUCCUCUUCAUCGACAUUACAGCAGUGAGCCAGAGCCUCACAGAUACUCAUUUGAAUUGGCUUCAUAUCCUCCUGUUCAUUUACUUUGAUCAUGGAAGCCAGUGUAGCCAAGGUGUCAGCCAUCUGAUUCUCGUCUCGUGGGAGGUAAUGAAAGGUAAUAUCAUCAAACUCUUCAAUUAACUCCAGGAUUAACUUUUGGUAACUGAUCAAUUUGGGAUCUCUCGUUUCCCACUCGCCUUUAAGCUGAUAAAUUACCAAUGCAGAAUCUCCAUACACUUCUAAUACUUUGAUUUCGCGGUUUAUAGCUGCCUGAAUUCCCAUGAUACAUGCCUCGUAUUCUGCCAUGUUAUUUGUGCAGUCAAAAUCCAGCUUGCAAGUGCAUGGAUAAUGGUCUCCAUUUGGGGAUAUCAGUACUGCCCCAACUCCAUUUCCAACGGCAUUUGAUGCUCCGUCAAAAUUUAAUUUCCAAGAAUGAUCUUCAGACAUGUCUCCUUCAGCAAUUGCUACAUACAUUAGAUCUUCAUUGGGGAAACUGAAAUUCAAAGGUUCAUAGUCCUCCAAAGCUCUACUGGCUAGGAAGUCUGCUAUUGCACUCCCCUUCACAGCUUUUUGGUUUACAUAGACUAUAUCAAAUUCGGAGAGCAGAAUCUGCCAUCAGGCUAUCCUUCCGUUUAAAGCGGUUGAUUCCAUCAUGUAUUUGAGAGGGUCUAGCUUUGAGAUUAGCCAAGUUGUAUAGUACAACAUGUAUUGUCUCAACCUUCGUGUUGUCCAAACCAAAGCACAGCAUAGCUUCUCAAUUGGCGGAUACCUCAUUUCACACUGAGUGAAUUUUUUACUGAGGUAAUAUAUCGCUCUUUCUUUUCUCCCAGUCUCAUCGUGUUGGCCGAGCACACACCCCAUCGAACUAUCAAAUACUGUUAAGUACAGUAUUAAUGGUUUACCAGGGCUUGGUGGUGUUAGCACUAGGGGACUGGACAAAUAUUGUUUAACCUUUUCAAAGGUUUUUUGGCAUUCAUCAUCCCAUACCCCAGGAUUAUGCUUUUUAAGAAGACGGAAUAUGGGGUCACACUUCUCAUUCAGUUGCGAAAUAAAUCGUGCGAUAUAGUUUAGUCUCCCUAGGAAACCUCAGACUUCUUUUUGAGUUCGUGGCGGUGGCAGCUCCUGAAUAGCCUUGACUUUAUCAGGGUUGACUUCUAUUCUUUUCUCACUGACUACGAAGCCGAGUAACUUUUCGGACCUAGCUCCGAAGGUUCAUUUUGACGGAUUGAGCUUUAAUUGGAAUUUCUUCAACCUCAAGAACAAUUUUCUCAACACUCGCACAUGCUCCUUUUCAGUUCGGGAUUUUUCAAUCAUGUCGUCAACGUAGACCUCAAUUUCCUUGUGCAUCAUGUCAUGGAACAAGGUUACCAUGGCUCUUUAGAAUGUGGCUCCUGCAUUUUUUAACCCGAAGGGCAUCACCUUGUAGCAAAACGUUCCCCAUAAAGUUAUGAAUGUGGUUUUUUCCAUAUCCUCAGGAUGCAUCUUAAUCUGAUUGUACCCGGAGAACCCAUCCAUAAAGGAGAACAAUGAAUAGCCUGCCGUAUUAUCCACUAGAGUGUCUAUGUGAGGCAAUGGAAAGUUAUCCUUUGGGCUGGCCUUAUUUAAAUCUCUGUAAUCUACGCACAUCUGUACUUUCCCAUCUUUCUUAGGGACAGGGACGACGUUGGCCACCCAUUCUGAAUAAUUGACCACUUGUAGGAAUCCAGCAUUAAACUGCUUCUUGACUUCUUCCUUUAUUUUCAUUGCUACAUCGGGUCUCAUCCUUUGGAGCUUCUGCUGAACUGGCUUGCACUCCUUUUUUGUAGGGACACGGUGUACUGCGAUAUCGGUACUUAAACCAGGCAUAUCCUGAUAUGACCAUGCAAAGACAUCAUUGAAUUCUUGCAAUAGCUCAAUAAGGUUCUGUUUUGUUUUCUCGAAGUGCCAAUUUUAACUUCCCUCCCUUUUUCCAGGGCCACAAUCUCAGUAGCCUCUUUGUGUGGCAGGAUCUGCUCCUCUUCUCGCUCCACCAUUCUUAAAAAAUCGGGAGAUAAACCACAAUCCUCGUCCUCUUUAAAAUCCUGAAGUCUCUCAAAGUACAUGUCUCACUUGAAAGGAAAUUCCGGGCUUGUAUCAGCAUUACUCAUGACGUUGACAUCCGGGGGCCUGUUAUGAGUAUAAGAGAAUACCCAAAGAAAAUGAAAUGAAUAAUUCCUUUGUAUGUUAUGAUUGUGUUGAAAUGAAAAGGAAGAAAAAAUAAUUACUCGAACUGAUAUAUGAUAAUGCAUUUUUUAUUGAAAAUAAUAAUGUUUAAACAUGAGCCUAUUUCACAAAAGAUUCUUAUUGUCCCUAGGCUAGAAGACAACAAGUGGGUUUUAAAUAUUACCCUGUGUUAGCUCUAAAGAUUACAGGAAUUUCUUCCACAGUCCAGUUAUUCAAAACACUCCCAGGCUCAUACGGGCAAAUGCCCGAUAAAUUUCUUUCCAUUGCUUCCUCUUCAAACAUGGCGUUGAUGUUCCAAAUUCCUAUCACAUCCUCGACCAUUCCUUCUUUUAUCCUCUCCGGUGCAGAAUGAAUAAACCCUCCAGAUACAAAUGUUUGGAAAAUGUGGGGGAAGCUCAUCGGUUCCCACCUGACUUCUGUCCCACUCAAUCUUGCUCUCCGCUGUUCCUGGCUUCUUUCCCACUCAAUCUUGCUCUCCUUCUUCACUUGACUUGCAUCUAGCCUGAAUCCCAAACCGAAGCGAUCCCACUUGCCAACCAAGACUGGCACUCUAACUUGUCCACGGAGGUGCCUCCCGAGUCCUUUGCCAGGUAACGCCCCUUUCCCAACUGUCAGCUGCAGGCUCAUUUUCGUAGCCCCUGACAUCUUAGGUAUCGGAAUCCUGCUUCCUUCAGCUAUAAACAUGGCAUUUACAAACUCUAACGAUCGAAAUGAACAUUCAACCGCUUCGUUGUCAUUUUCUACGUAGGGUGCAUCACUGGUAACUGACCCUCAGUAACCAUUUUUAGCUUCUGGUGCAGCGAGGAUGGCAUUGCCCCAGCUGAGUGAAUCCAAGGUCUUCCUAAUAGACAGUUAUAGGAAGGCUUAAUAUCCAUCACGAGGAAAUCUACCUCGUACGCGUUUGGGCCAAUCUGAAGAGGUACCUCUAUCCUUCCUAUUACUUUUCUUUCUGUGCCAUCAAAUGCUCUUAAUAUGUUCUCACACGUCUUCAUAUAGGAAUUGUCUAUAGGUAAACGGUUUAACGUAGCCCAAGGCAACACAUUCAAUGCGGACCCAUUAUCAACUAGUACUCUGGGUAGCGUAUACCCCUUGCAACGUGUAGUGAUAUGCAGAGCCUUAGUAGACCCCCUACCCCCUGAUGGUAUCUCAUCAUCCCUGAAGGAGAUGAAAUUGUCAGCACUUAUGUUGCCGACAAGACGAUCCAGUUUGUUAACCGAAAUGUUAUCCGCAACAUAGGUUUCGUUCAACACUUUCAUCAAUGCGUUGCGGUGGACCUCCGAAUUUAACAGCAGAGCCAAUAUCGAUACGCGAUCUGGUUGUUGGUGUAGUUGUUCCAUAACACUAUACUCGCUGUGUCUUAGGAACUUCAAGAACUCUUUGGCUUCAUUUUCCAUUACUGGCUCAUUAACCAGUGGUUCUGAUCUCUCUACUUUUUGCUUGAGCAUGACGGGUUUCCCUUUUGCUGGUUCGGCUUCUGUGUUUGGCAUGUUAAUCGAAACCUCCUUCUCUGCAACUGCUAUACUACAAUUAUAAUUCCAAGGAACUCUAUGACUAUUUUUAUAAGGGAAAACUGUUGGCUUCUGGAUUAUAACUCUUGGUGUAACUCUUGCUUCUACUUUACUAACUCUGGGCUUCGAAAUAAUUAUCACUGGACGGCUGGCUCUGCAGCCUUCUUCACUCGACUCUCCUCCUAGAGAGCAUACAUCCUCCUCUUCGACAGACUUGAAGAAUUCAAUUCCUUAUUAUCCAUUAGACCCUGUACUAGGGCCCUGAACUCAAUACAAUUCUGGAUCUCGUGAUCUUUCUCAUUAUGGAAUUCACAGUAGUUCCGUGUAUCUUGGAUUUUAUCCCUCAACUCCUGCGGGACUAAACCUCUCUUCUGCAUUUCCUUCCAAACUAGCUUCAAUGGGGUUCUCACCUCCGCGAUAUUCAGCUUGACUUUCCUCCCCAUAUUCUCAAUUAUCGUGUUUACCCAUUUAUCAGUAUGACUGGGCAACGGAUUUUCCGUACCAGGUGUAUCAUCGAAUUUUACAACACCUGCUUUGAUAAGCCUUUCUACACACCUUUUGAACGAGGUACAGUUUUCUAUCGAGUGCCCCGUAAUUCCUGCGUGGUAUUCGCACUGAGCAUUUGCAUCAUACCAUUUAGGGUAUGGGGGUUGUAACGGUUCUAAGUGGAAAGGGACCACUACGUGUGCAUCAAAUAACUUUUUGUAGAGCUCCCUAUACGUCACUGGUAUGGGAGUGAAUUGGAACCUCUCUGUAUUCUGCCUUGUGUUAGGCUCUCGCCUUGGUGCGGCCUGUUGGCUUGUGACUAUCGUUCCCGAUUGGUUAAUCGUGACAGGUUUUGAAUACCCUGAGCUCACAUUACCUACCUCAUUUUCUCUUUUCUUUGGGGCUGACCUUCUUGUGCUUUCCCCCGUUUCUAUCUUCACACAUCUUAUCGCAUUUUCUAUUAUUUCGCCUGACAUCACUAUGUCUGCGAAACUCUUAGUUGCGCUUCUCACCAUAUGAUUGAUGAAAGGUGCCUUCAAUGUAUUGAUAAACAGCAUGGUCGUUUCUUUUUCCAGCAGUGGUGGUUGAACCUGUGUGGCAACUUCCCUUCACCUCUGGGCGUAUUUCCUAAAACUUUCACCCGGUUUCUUCUCCAUGUUUUGUAACGUGAUCCUGUCAGGUGCGAUAUCCGUUACAUGGCCAUAUUGCUUCAUGAAGGCUUGAGCUAAGUCUUUCCACGAUUUGAUUUGGGUACAACUUAACUGAUUGUACCAUUUCGCCGCAGCCCCAAUCAAACUAUCUUGAAAACAGUGAAUCAACAGCUGAUCAUUGUUGACAUACCCUGUCAUUCUCUGGCAGAACAUUGUAAUGUGAGCCUCCGGGCAGAUGGUUCCAUUAUACCUUUCAAAUUCUGGCAUCUUGAAUUUCGGAGGGAGUACAAAGUCCGGUACCAAACUCAAUUCCUUAGCAUCAACCCCGCAAUAAUAAUCUGUACCUUCUAAUACCUUGAACCUCUCCUCUAACCACUUGCAACGGUCUUCGAACUGUUUUGGAAGCUCAGCCCUUGCUUUUUUCUUUUCUUCAACAUCGUCGAGUUUGGGGACAGUUGGUUUUGCCAAAUUAUCGCCCGGAUUAGAACUUGAGCCUGUUGGGAGAUUCCCUAGCGCUGAAGUACCAGAUUGAUACUGAGGUCUAAUAUUAACAGACACUUUGGGUGGUUGGGCACUUGCUGGGGCAAAUCUAGGAGGAUAUGUGGAGUCUUCAUUGUCAUCCCCACUAUCACCCAUAGGGCCUUUUCCUUUGUCAGACCCCCCUUCAACAGCUGUGUUAGUUGGCUUAUCAUGUUGUUCUGUGACUCCAGCAUGUUUUUUGGGACUCUAGUAUUUGAUCCUUCAUCUCCUGCUGGAUCCUAGCCAGCUGUUCUUGCAUCCGAGCUUGCAGUUGCUCCUGCAUUUAUUCUAAUUUCUCUAACCUCUAAUCCAUAUCCCUUGUUUUCCUCCGUGUAUAGUAGCGAUGUUCUAGGGUAACUAGAUAAAUUAUCACUAAUUAAUAGGGUUCUUUUGUGUAACUUAAUGCAUAUGAUGCGAUAUGAUGUAAAUGUAUGAAAUGAAUGCAAAACUAAGAAGGCGUCAAUUCUGAUUCAAUUUCUUUUAAAAGAACUUUAUUAGAAAACAGAAAACUUUACAUAAAACAAGUUAUAUAUACGGCCUAGCCCUUAUGCCCAAAGUUUUAACUCUCUCGAGAAGCCCAGCUAGCUCUCGACCUCGAUCUGACUCUAAUUCAUACUUUACAAUCAACACGUCAGCUUGAACUGCUAGAGUUUGCAAAUGCUCCGCUACCUCUCGAAUCUGAGCCACGGCCUCACCCAUGAUGUGAUUUCUGUCCCUGACUUGGUCCUGAGAUCUAUGUAGCAGCUCUUUCCAAAGCUCAUUAUCUGACUCAAGAAGUUGAUUUUGAUGUUCACGAUUCUGAAGUACAGUCUCAAGUUCUUCUAUCUUCCUUCUCAAAUCCUCGAUCCUAUUUAAGCUUGCCUUCAGCUCUACUGAAGACUUGCGACUACGAGAUUGAUGAAGCGCCAUCUCUAACUCCUCUACUCGAGCUCUUAACAUUUCUUUUUCAUUUUGGCUUUCAACCAAACUCUUUUUUAAGACGCUCUCUCAUGCACAAGUAUUAUGAAAUCUUUUUUCCCAUUGUUCGGCUUUAGACCUUUCCUCUUGGACCUCUUGUUGCCAUUGCUCUGACGUCUUUCCCAGUCCAGCAUUUCUCAUUGACUUAUGUAUCUGCCGAUAAACGGUCUUCAAAGCGUCCAAGUCCUCCUCAGCUUUUCUUUUCCCCUUUUGCAGUUUCUCAGCCUCGAGUUUCUGAACGUCGAUAUCUAACCUUAGAUGCAUCUUCUCUUCCUCCAACUGUUCUAUCUUCUUUCCUAACUCUGAAUUUCUCCUUUUAAAGUCUUGUUUUAUAAUUUCCAGCUCGGAAAGAAUUACUCGUAAGUGUUCUUCCAUUGAUUGGACGCCUUCUAGACUUGGCAUCGGAAUAUUAUCAUUGAUCCUCUUACUCAACCACCUAUUGUACUCAGGAGUCGUCAUUGGGCAUCCAGUCAACUUCUUCAUUUGGUGUGUCUGUUUCCAGGCAUCGGCAAUUUCUCGAACUCUCUUCUUAUAAUUAUCCCCUUUAUACAAAAAUUCACUAUGAGCUAACCCAUGUGUCGCAAGUACAAACUGCUCUAACUCAUAUUGCCUUAACACCAGCAAAGGGGCAUAUCCAACAGUUCCCCAAACUCCAAGCAGAGGUACCCAAUCAAAAUUUCCGCAACGGUAGAGGACUUUAUCGGGAACCAUCCAAUGGGCCUUCCAUUCCACAUCUUUUUCUUAGAGAUUUUGGAGAAUUGUCAUCCACCUUUCUUCUGAUGUGUCGUCCCUCAUGGGCGUAGCUGCUAUCUCUUUCAAAGGGGAAUAAUUUUCAAAAAAAACUCGAUUCGGCCUUCUUUGAACUUUCCAGAAGUGGCCAUGGAACCAAACCAAUAAUAAUUGUACGCAUCCCACGAAUCUUCCUUCACCUGCCCUUCGACACUCAUUUAAAGAUCUGAAUGUCUCUGCUAGAAUUACUGGUACCGGUGUAGCCCGUUUGGCAAGCUGAUCAAAUAAAUCAGUGACUGCUUCGUCGAUAUGUCGUAACGCUUUAGGAACGAUCACUAACCCAUAAAUACUCAAGGAAAAAACGUCAACCUUCUUUUUUGCAUCUGGAUGUGCCAGGAUCAAGUCUCUCAAGUUCACCCAAGGAAUGUAUUUCCCCUCACUUUUUUGUUGAAUUCGGGCUGUAACCCACUGCUCACUCAUCCUAGUGACGUUCAUUAGCUUCUUUACAAAACUUGGUACAUUGGGGACUUAACAUACACUCUGCCCGUUUGAAACCUUGGACAACGUAACAGGGCUGAACACUCCUCCACGGUUGGCACCAAGUCCACUUUCCCAAAGGUGAAACAACUAUAUACGGGGUUCCAGAACUAAGUCAUAGCUCGAAACAAGUACUUGUCUACCUUAAUGUCGAGCAGGUAAGGUAGAUCACCGUAGUUGUAGUAGAACAAUUUCUUGGUCUCGUUAUUCAAGCGGGCCCAUAUAUCCCUCAAUUCUUGGAGCUCAUUCUGUGUCACACUAAUACGUGUGAAGUCCCACAACUCCGACGCAUACCCCUUGGCCAGGCUAUCCCCUUUCUCGAGCUGAGCAUUCUCUGACCAUGCACGGACAAUUGCAUUAUCCCCCACUUUAUCAAGAAGUCAGCUCUCCAUGACAAGCUCUCUAACUUAGUAAUCGAACAGGUAUUGUCACCUUCCUAGAUAUGAAAUGACAUGCAAUCAUAGCAAAAAUAAAACACAUUAAGUUAGUAUCAAAUAGUAAAAAUCAAAGCAAGCAAGAAAUAAUCAAAAACCUAUUUGGGUAAUCACUAGAAUUUGAUAUGGCUCUACUUAGGGUAGGUUCCUAAAGGUUACUAUAUGCGGUUCAAUUCUAAGGAAAGGGUACCUGAACCAGCAGAUUCCUUGAUCCUCACCCAUUAUAGGCUCAUAUGGAUAUAGUUCAGUUCAGGGGGAUACAUUUCCCUAUGGCCAUGCGGAGGUGAAAACCUCACGAAACCAUAGGUACGGAUGUAUCUCGGAAGUGAUCCACUAGCCCAUGCGGAGGUGAAAACCUCACGAAGGCAUAGCUUCUCACUCCCACUUAAGGGUACGACCACAACGGACAUGCAGUAUGAUGCAGGAAUAACAUAAGAGAAAAUAAAAAUGAUACUAACAAAUGUGACGGAAGAAAAAAUAAUUUCAAAACACAAUUUCCAUUUUUGACAAAAGGACAGAAAUUAAUCAAUUUUACGGCUUGACUCUCUGUUAAGGUCCCCAGCGGAGUCGCCAAGCUGUCGAAACCAUUUUUAAUUUUAAAACGUGGAUUGACUUUGAAAACAUGGAUGGAGUCGCCACCAAUUCUUUUUGAGGUGUAAUUAGGUCACCUUAUAAAGCAUUUUGGUCUACGAAUGUUAAGAAAAUAGGUUCGGGAAUCAAUUACGUACGAGGAAGGAUUAGCACCCUCGUAACGCCCAAAAUCGGUACCAAAUUGAUUAAUAAUGUCCUUAUUGUUGAAAAUUUUAAGAGAUUUUAAAAUAUAAUUCUUUUAGAAAAUAUUUGAACGGUUCAUUUUGGGGUAUUAAGGCUUAUUUGUUCCAAAAGGACAAAAUGUCACACCCAGCACGUUAGGAUGCAACAUUUUAACCCUCAAGACCCAAACCUUAAUUUUUCGAAACCUGACACUAGAAGGAUAUUUAAACAUUUAGAUGACCGAAAAAAACCACAACCCAGCACGUUAGGGCACGACUCUUUCGGACUUCCAAAUGCGAAACAUUGCCUUGUUUUAUAAGACUUUCGAAAACGAUCUAAAGUCAAUUAAAAAAUGUAUUUAUUUAAUUUAUUUUUGAAAAAAAUGAAAAAACUAAGAACUGGCUUAAGUGAGUUUAAAUUUGAGUCGUUAUACCAUAUAAGGAAACAGGUAUGCGAUUGUGAAAUAAAUAACAAUAAUCUAAUGCAACAAUAUAAUACGACUAAAUCAUAAUAGGAUCAGAAGAUAUGCAUAUAAAGUAAAAGGCAUAAUUUAAAUUGAACAUAUAUGCAAAAUAACAUAAGAAAAUAUUUUGAAGACCGAGGUAUACUUUAAAAUGGGAUUUAAAAGAAACAAAUGUAUGAAUAAAAUAUAAUACAUAUAUAUAUAUAAAAGAAUAUGGACAGCAAGCAAUAUGAAAUCAAUAAUAAUAUAUAGUGAGGAGUAAUAAAUAAUAAUAAUUUAGUAUAAAAUAACUGAUAAAAAAAUGGUGUAUAUAAAAAACAAUAUGAUAAGUCCAUUAAAGAAUAUAUUUGAAGGAAAAAAAACUUUUAGGGGAAAAAAACGUAUAUAUAUAAGUUAUAAGUAAUAAAAAAAGGUAGUAAAUAGUAAAAAUAAUGAAGAAAAUAAGAAGUAUAAUAAACUAUAUUUAAAAUUAUGAGCCUAAAAAAAAACUAAAUAGUAUAAAAAUGCUUAUUAGUAGAAAACAAUAAUAUAACAAAUAAUAUAAUAAAUAUGAUGAAGAUUUAUACAUAAAAUAAUUAACUUUGCUAAAAAAAACUAUAAUAAGCAUGUAAUAUAAAAUGAUAUAAUAAUGUAAAACAUAACUCAAUUGAUUAAAUUAAAUGAAAAUAAAUAAAAAAUAAUGAAAAUAAUAUAAUAAGCAUAAUAAAUAAUAGUGUAAAAAAAUAAUACAAUAAAUAAUAGGAAAAUAAUUUAAAAAAUGAUAGUAAAAAAAAGUAAUAAUAGAUUAAUAAUAAUACCAAAAAAAAUUUGUGAUAAAAGUGUCUAAAAUAAACAAAAUAGGGCUGAAUUGGAAUCACAACGGAAGUUCUGGGGUAAAACAUAAAUAAAAGGGGAAAGGAGGAUCUCAUUGGAGCGAGCGUGGAAUAAGGGGGUUUAAAAAUGUAAUUUACCCAAAUUCUUGAACCUAGCAUUUAAUAUGGACCAAAUUAAAAGCUGCACAAAAUUGCUGGGUGAAAUUCAAAAACAAAAGUGAAGCAGAUUUGGGCAGCAAGAAAAUGCACGGGGACUUAGUGCGCAAAUUGACCCUUUAAGGGAAAAAUGCGUGGGCCCCACCACUUUAAAAGUUAUUGAAUGGCAUCUACCAUUUUUAAGAACCCAUUUUAUUUUUUAUUUCUAGUGUUUUUCAAAAAAGAAGCAGAAUGCUUCUUCUUCCUUGCUCCCUCUCCAUUUUUGCUAGGAGUUCAACCUAGCUUGCGUCUCCCUGGAGGAUCAUCGGUGCCACGCACCUCCACCCCAUCACCGGUUCAUGGAUCAAGACCGGGUAAAAUGGAAAAUAGUACUUAAAUAUUAAUUAUAAAUUUUUCUCAAGUUUCUGAUUUCAAGUGUAGAGUUUAUGGUAUAGGAUUUAGGUUUAUUUCAAGUUUUGAGUUUAAUGUUUGAAUUUAAGAUUUAUUGUUUAUAUCAAGUUUUCGAUUUUAAGUUUAGAUUUUAUGUUUAAAUAAAAUUAUUAAUAUUUAUUUAUAAGUCAUUCAUUAUAUUAUAUUUCAUCAUUGAUGAGGUGUUAUGUUAUUAUUUAAUAACGAUGCAUGAAAUUCAUAAAUUGUUAAUGCAUUAAAUAUUCCUCCUUUUAAAUAUGUAUCACGUUAGAUUUGAACGGUUACUUAAAUGCUUAAAUC